UACGUAGGGUGCAAGCGUUAAUCGGAAUUACUGGGCGUAAAGAGCUCGUAGGCGGUCUGUCGCGUCUGCUGUGAAAACUCGGGGCUUAACCCCGGGCCUGCAGUGGGUACGGGCAGACUAGAGUGAUGUAGGGGAGACUGGAAUUCCUGGUGUAGCGGUGAAAUGCGCAGAUAUCAGGAGGAACACCGAUGGCGAAGGCAGGUCUCUGGGCAUUAACUGACGCUGAGGAGCGAAAGCAUGGGGAGCGAACAGG
rnacentral:rRNA from 1 species